AUUGAACGCUGGCGGCAGGCCUAACACAUGCAAGUCGAACGGUAACAGGAAGAAGCUUGCUUCUUUGCUGACGAGUGGCGGACGGGUGAGUAAUGUCUGGGAAACUGCCUGAUGGAGGGGGAUAACUACUGGAAACGGUAGCUAAUGCCGCAUAACGUCGCAAGACCAAAAAGGGGGACCUUCGGGCCUCUUGCCAUCGGAUGUGCCCAGAUGGGAUUAGCUAGUAGGUGGGGUAACGGCUCACCUAGGCGACGAUCCCUAGCUGGUCUGAGAGGAUGACCAGCCACACUGGAACUGAGACACGGUCCAGACUCCUACGGGAGGCAGCAGUGGGGAAUAUUGCACAAUGGGCGCAAGCCUGAUGCAGCCAAGCCGCGUGUAUGAAGAAGGCCUUCGGGUUGUAAAGUACUUUCAGCGGGGAGGAAGGGAGUAAAGUUAAUACCUUUGCUCAUUGACGUUACCCGCAGAAGAAGCACCGGCUAACUCCGUG
rnacentral:rRNA from 1 species